GGAGUCGUGGCACUCCUUGAUAACUUCUCUUCGUAAGUUUCCCCACAUUGGCACAAAUAGCCGAUCUCCCUUGGUGAGGAGGAUGCCUUCCUCUUGCCAAAAGCGCCUUGUCUUUCCCUCGAGCACCUUCUCCAGCAAAUCCCUUGCUAGCGGAUCCUGUUGGAGGCCUUCCUUGAUGCGUAAGACAAGGUCGGACUUCGGUUGGCUCAUGCUAAGUGUUGCCAACUCUGCCUUGC
rnacentral:lncRNA from 1 species